rnacentral:lncRNA from 1 species
ACACUAUCACCUUCUGGUUUCAAGGGAUCUAAUGACCUCUUCUGGACUCUUUGAAUACCAGGCACAUACAUGGUACACAUAGAUGCAGGCUUAACACUCAUACAUAUUAAAUACAUUAAAUUGUAAAAAUUCCACCUAGCAAUACUAGUUUAAUAAUACAGAACAGGGUGAGAUAUCUGUUUCUAGCUGGUGAUGUAGCUUAGUUGGUACAGUAGUUGUCUAGCCUUCACAAAGCCCUAGGUCUGACCUCUAGCACUACACAAACCUACACGUGGUUACGCACACCCAUAAUCACAGCAAUUGGGAGGUCAAGACAGACGAUUAAGAAGUUCAUGGUCAUCCUUAGCUACAUAGUAAGUUUGAGUCCAGCUUGGGCUACAUGAGAUUCUGUCCCAAAGAGGGCAAAAUAAAUUAAAACUUUAAAAAAGAAGAUAUCUGUUGUUUAGCCUCAUGAUCAUGUACCUCAUUGGGAGUGAUGGCUUCCUGCCCAGAUUCCUUAGAGAUCAUCAUAAUACAUAUUGCUACCCUGUGGGAAAAAAUUAAAAUUCAAAAUACAAUUUCCAAUGAAUGCAAAUUGUACUCUCUGGGUCCUGAAGUCAGAAAUAAAAUGUAAGCCAAGCUAUCGGAAGAAAGCAUUGAUAUCAAUAGGCAGAGUCCAUAUAAGCAAAAAAUGGAUUUAGCUGUCCUUCAAUUACGAUUUGGGCACCUACCACUGAUAAGGGAAAAUGCCAGGCUGUGUGCAUGGCUCCUCGUGCAUGAAAUUAAAGUGGUCCCCAUGUGAAUUCAUGUAUUUAGUUAUGUAUGCCUUUAGAGAUUUUAGUCUGUAGCUUGGAAGGCACAUCCAGCAGGGAAGCUGACAGAUAAACUUGUAAAUAUAAUGUUAACUGUUUAGGAGGAGGAGACUCAGAUAGGGGAGGGUUGUUUCUAUGGUGGACACGGAGUGAUCGGAAAAGGCUUCUUUGAGAAAGAGAAGAAGCUAAGACUAAAUUUUAAGAAGAGACAGGUGUGGGGACAUCCCAGAUGGAUACAAUUGCCCUGUACAAACCCAUAAAUGC